rnacentral:hammerhead_ribozyme from 1 species
AUCCAACUGACAAGUCCCAAAUAGGACGAAACGCGCAUCCUGAAU